UUGGGACUUGUUUAUGAAUGCUUAACAAAACACCUUUGGAUCUUCUUUCACAAAGUGCUCAUGAGAAAAAUCAAUUUUUCCCCUGAAUUAAAUUUCAAUUUUGGCUUAGAUUUCUUUGGAAUUGAAUGAUUUGGAUGAUGGGUGCAAAAUUGAAACAUUUGGAUAAAAUUAACAAAUUGGUGCAAGCAUUUGAACUUUUUGGUCCAAAAGGCCUUGAGACGAUUAGUUGACUUGAAUUAUUUAGGGAGGAUCUUAUUUCACAAAGUGCUCAUGAGAAAAAUCAAUUUUUCCCCUGAAUUAAAUUUCAAUUUUGGCUUAGAUUUCUUUGGAAUUGAAUGAUUUGGAUGAUGGGUGCAAAAUUGAAACAUUUGGAUAAAAUUAACAAAUUGGUGCAAGCAUUCGAACUUUUUGGUCCAAAAGACCUUGAGACGAUUAGUUGACCUGAAUUAUUUAGGGAGGAGAUUUAGCUUCAAUGAAGGACUACAUUUUGAAUGGACAUCUGUUCUAUCAUCAAUGCUUCAAUUCUCCAUGACAUCAAUGGAAAAGUAAAGCAUUCUAAUAUCCAUAACAUCUGUUUCCAAUGUCAGCAGAAAACAUUUUGUGUUUCAC
rnacentral:lncRNA from 1 species